rnacentral:rRNA from 1 species
UACGAAGGUUUCCCUCGUUCCUCGUCCUUCCUGGGCGUAAAGCGUGCGUAGGCGGUUUGUUAAGUCUGCUGUGAAAGCCCCGGGCUCAACCUGGGAACGGCAGUGGAUACUGGCAAGCUAGAGUGUGUCAGAGGAUGGUGGAAUUCCCGGUGUAGCGGUGAAAUGCGUAGAGAUCGGGAGGAACAUCAGUGGCGAAGGCGGCCAUCUGGGACAACACUGACGCUGAGGCACGAAAGCGUGGGGAGCAAACAGG